ensembl:lincRNA
GCCGCAGUUUGUGUGUGUGUGAGUGUGUGUGUGUAUGUGUAUGUGUGUGUGUGUUUCUCUCCAAUGUGGUUUAAUCAUUAACUUUCUUCUGCUUUAUUUUACCUUCAUGUAGGGCAGGCCACCUAGUUCCCAACCUGAAAUUAGUUUACUCUGUAGUGAAAAACAACAUUCAAGUCACAAGAAGAAUCUGUGGAGUGAUGUUCCUGAGAUCACCCAGGACAGGCUCCCAGUCCCGCAAGCAUUGUCCCUGGGGUUGGCCUCUGCACCUGACAUUUUUAGGGCCCGAGGCCCUCACUUCUGGGCCAAGCCAAGAGAAGAAAGAGCAAUUCAAAAAUUCAUCGUGGAGACUGCAGUAGAAAUGAAGAACUGGCUCCACCCCCACAGGAUGUUACCCCAGCUGCUUUCCAUUCACAAUCUGGUUCUGAGCAGACCAAGGAAAACACAGGACGAGGCUGUGCUCCGGCUCAAUUAUACAUUCAAAUUGCCUGUAUUUAAAAACCCCUAAAAACUGUAAUGGCUUAAUUAAGCUGGUAGCUUUAUGGCAUGCUUCUCCUCACAGCCUAAUUCAAAGCCCUUUCUCUUUCACUGAGAAGUCAAUGUGACAAUUCUGUCUUGCUGGGAUGGCUGCCGCAAGGAGGAGGGGCUACAGGAUGGGAAAAUGAAGAAAGUGGAUCUUGGUGGAAGUUAAAUUUCUCUUGUGGCAGAUGGUCUACAAAUCUCCAGUCCUUCAGAGUACAUAAAACGGGUCCCUGGGGAAAGAGUAGGCAUUCAUCUAGGUUCUAGGAAAAGUAGAAUGAAUUUUCACAUGCUGAAGCUCGUCUUUGGAGUCCAUCAACUAAAAAGGGUCUCUUCUGAAGAAGAGAAAUUCAGGUUAAGAAUUCUAUUUUUUUUUUCUCCUAUAAAAGAGCAGGUUGGCCUUACCCUCACCUCCCCGUCCCCCAUCUAAAUGCCAUUGUUCUUACUUUCCAUGCCCAUGGGAUAUUUAUGGAGUAGCAUUUUAAUGGCACGGAAUGAACUUCCUGCCUUCAUGUAGAAGUGGCUGGCCUCCGUGGAUAGGGGUGCUGCUGCCACUCACUGUCAUCUGCUUUACAGAAAGAGCCUGUUAAGGCUGCAACAGUUUCAUUAUCAGAACAUUCAGGUCUCUUGCUAUUGUUUGAGAAAUCCUUCGUUUGAGGAUAUGUUGAGGCAUUGUCACAUGUAGAAAGUCACUUUUUAAGGAAAUUAAUUACUCGUAACCUUUAUUUGUUUAAAUGCAGUUUAAGAUCUGUGCUAAAGAAUCAGACUAUUUCACCUCCAAUAUCACCUACGUCACGCACUAGUAGUGAAAACUUAUGUUAGUGACUUCAUUUUUCUUAUCUCUAAAAUGGGAUAAUAAUACUGAUUUUUAGCUCACAAGUUUGGUAGGAUUGAAUAAAUAAUACACCUGAGGUAAUUAGCACAGUGCCCAGGCCUAAAUCACUUAAUGAUAUUAGUUAAUAAAAACAAUAACAAUUUCACCAAGUUCACAUUCUGUAAGAGUUAUACUUACAGGAACACUUAACAAUUAUAUAUCUAAUCUUCAUCAGAUAGAGAAAGAGACAUAUUUGCCAUCCUGGUUUCUCGGGUUCAUAGAGAAGUAAUGGCAACACAAUUUCACUACAUUUUGCUUAUUUGGGAUUCUGGUGUCUGUCUUUUUAUUUCUCCUUUAACAGCUGCUCUCAUUAGCCUUUUGGGAAUCCAGCUAAAGAGUUUUUCAUUUUUAGGAAGCCACAUGUUCCCUAUCUUUAAAUCAAAGGUGAAAUACAGCGUACCAUGGCAAUAAUCCAACAUUUGAAGGCCACAUGGACUUUCCAGUUUAAACUCAUUUUCUAUGAAGUCAAAACUCAUCCUUCGCUUUUGAAAGCACCAAAAGCAAUUAGCUGAGACAGCAGAGAACAGACAGGAAAAGGAGGCCCCUGGUGGCCAAAAUGAGGCUUCUCCCUUUCCGUUUUUAAUGGUAUGCGAAAGGCAUUAAUCCACACUUUCAUUUUCUAUUAGCCAAAUAGAAAUGUCUUGAGAUAAUGUGAAUACCUUAUGGCAUAAGUGACUUUCUAAAGUAUCUUAUUAGAACUCCUUAUCUGUGUAAAUUAGGCAGUACUGAGGCUUGACAGCCAGAAACAUAUUUCUUAAAAGCUGACAAUUACGAGAAGCUCCCCAAAAGUUAGCCAAAUACCACAGGGGAAAAUUCCAGAGGGCAGCUCUAGAGUGUUCGCAAGGCUGGCACCUUUCUGCCAUGUCACAUGCAGGUGACCUCCUUGGGUGGCAGCUUCAUUUAGAAAUGAAGUCAGAUUUCCUAGAUGCCUCUCAAGAACCAUGAGGCCAAACCACGUGGUCACAAAUAGAUGUUGGGAUAUUAUUGCAGAAACAGAUAAAAACUUUAUCCGUGUUGGGUGUUCAAUACACUUUGAGAAAGAUACCCUAGAUUUCAAGUGCGUUUGUUUUAAAAAAUAAGGUUGUAGAGUAUUUAGACAGCUUUGCUCAUUUUCAUGUAGAAAGGCCUAGAGUGUUGGAGAAAAUCCAAAUAAAAUGCAAAGGAAUAAGAAAAAAAAAAAAACCCAAAAACCUCUAGAAAGUGUUUCUAUCUCUUCAGAAUGGAGGGUUAUGUGUUGUUUGAUGAAAUUAGCUUAUCUAAGGGUAUGUGAGGAAAAGCCAGGUAUUUGGUGAUGUUACCGAAAUCCAAAUUCCAAAAUUCAAUCUCUACCUCUUUCCACUCCACCUGCUCUGCUCCACCCCCAGAGGCUGCACCACAUUGAUCCUCACAUUAAGCCUCCAACUAGUCUGUUCAGAUUUACUUGGAAAUAAAGAGCUACUUUAUUUAUUUUCCUGGGAGACUUGGCCAGGGGCCUUCUGGGUCCAUCAUCUGCACUGUUUUCCUUUAUUUUAAAGUUUCUCCUUACAGGACUGCCUCCCUGCAAACUUGUGUUGGCUAUUACAAAUAGACACCAUUACCUUUGAAAAUGGAUUCAUUCAUUCCAUAAAAAUUCACUGAACUCUAUUGUAAAGAUCAGUAUGCUUCCACCAUAAAGAAAAUUUUCUACAUUCAGAUUUUUCUUGUAGGUGUUUGUGUGCACUUGAGCUUUUUCUUUUUGUAUCUGAGUUUUAUGAUUCAAGCUAUUUUCUUAAAAUUCAAGCUCCAUCUGAUUUUUUUUUAAAUGUGGGCCAUUUAUCUUACUACAUGAAUCAAUUUUCUCUGACCAGGGGCCUCUUCUCCUCAUCAAUAUUGUUGCUUUUCAAUUCCUCCCUUAUAUUUCAGGUAGAUGGUUAAAGUAGUGUGACCACAGUUAAGGACACAUCAGAAUAUCUCCUGCUGAGGCAAAGAAGAUAAACACAGUUAAUGGAUAAAUAAUAGGCCAAUGCUGAGGUCAAUAUUUACCCCUCUGCUACAAUAAAUCUUGAUAACUUGAAAACUACCAAAACAAGAUGUCAAUAAUCAGUAUGGUGUGCUAUAGCCUUCCAAAAUAGUUUAUCAGAAAGUUAUGGAAAUGCUGGAAAUAAAGAUUGCA